rnacentral:rRNA from 1 species
UACGUAGGGACCAAGCGUUGUUCGGAUUUACUGGGCGUAAAGGGCGCGUAGGCGGCGUGACAAGUCACUUGUGAAAUCUCUGGGCUUAACCCAGAACGGCCAAGUGAUACUGUCGCGCUAGAGUGCGGAAGGGGCAAUCGGAAUUCCCGGUGUAGCGGUGAAAUGCGCAGAUAUCGGGAAGAACACCCGUGGCGAAGGCGGUUCUCUGGGACGGUACUGACGCUGAGACGCGAAAGCGUGGGGAGCGAACAGG